rnacentral:rRNA from 1 species
UACGUAGGGGCUAGCGUUAUCCGGAAUUAUUGGGCGUAAAGAGCGCGCAGGUGGUUGAUUAAGUCUGAUGUGAAAGCCCACGGCUUAACCGUGGAGGGUCAUUGGAAACUGGUCGACUUGAGUGCAGAAGAGGGAAGCGGAAUUCCAUGUGUAGCGGUGAAAUGCGUAGAGAUAUGGAGGAACACCAGUGGCGAAGGCGGCUUCCUGGUCUGUAACUGACACUGAGGCGCGAAAGCGUGGGGAGCAAACAGGAUUAGAUACCCUGGUA